ACAACCUCACAGAUGAUGUGGGCUACCAAGGGAGCCAGGAGCUGACCAGCGUGAGUACCCCACCCCGGGCCCCCCUCCCCUGGGGUCCCGCACCCCUUGCCCCGUACCACACUGGCAACUUACCUCACUGACCUCCUCUAGGAGGUCUUGCGGCAACCUCCCAUAUCUUCUCGACACCCUUCCAAUUCACAUCUUUACUAAACACGGCUCAGAUUUACUCCUUCCGGAACAAAACACCAACACUGAGAGUAACUGCAGCUUCUACUUACUGAGAACUUCCCACUGCCUCCCUAUCAGGUAGAUAUUAUUAUUAUCCCUAUUUUUCAGACGAGGAAACGGAGGCAAAGUCAAGUUAAGUGACCCUCCCAAGAUCGGAUAAACAGGAGGCAGAGACGCUAGGGUCUGAGCUGUGUGUCUGAGCCGAGGUAUCACACAGAACCGCCUCCCCCGCUGGCGGCCAACAUUUACGUGCCGCGCAACGCACUCGGUAUAGGAACUUAGCUCUUGGUUUAUUUGAGAGAGGCUUUAAAUGCUAGUUUCUGUUAGCAGUGACUGACACAAUACAUUGCUCAUAUUUAAAUGCUAAUUUUUAAGAGAGAGAGUGGGGAGAGGGGCAGAGACGGAGAGACUCCCAAGCAGGCUGUCAGCGCAGAGCCCACGUGGGGCUUGAUCUCACUAACCCUGAGACCAUGACCUGAGCCGCAAUCAAGAGUGGGACACUUCACCGACCGAACCACCCAGGCGCCCCAAGCUGCUCACAUUGAAAAUGCACCGUUUGGUGUGCGGACGUGUACGUACUCGUGAAACCAUCGCCACAAUCAAGAUAAUAGACGUAUCCGUCCCCCCCCCAAGUGUGAGCAGCCAGGGGGUCCAGAGCAGAGUCCUUAGACGGCUGGUAUCUGCCUUCCAUAGUGGGUCUGUAUGAAACGAAGGCACCUGCCCUGGGACCCUUGGAAAGAGGCCAGCUGUCCACCUCGCGCUGGGAUAAGCCUGCGGUGAGGUCCGGGAGCGUCCACCGGGGGGCAGGCUUCCGCCGACGCCCGCGGUCCAGGCUCGCCUCUGACCUCAGGGCUUCUCUGCCUCCCUUCCCCCCUCAGACACGAAGCCCCGUAUGUAACGGGACGGGUCAGUGGAGAGCGCGCUUCAUCCCCUGCUCUCGGAUUCCCCAAGGAGGAAGACCCCGGCCUCGCUCGGUCCAAGAGGCGGAAGCGCAGCAAGGUCGCCACCGUCCGGCCGAGGAGGGACAAGGCGAAGGACGAGGACGCGGACGAGGAGGACGAGGACCCCGAGAACGAGGGGCCGCCCCGGGCCGCGCGGUCCCCGAGGGUGCGGCGGAAGCGCCACCCGUCCUCGCGGACGCGCCCGCUGCGGCAGGAGCACCCGGGCAGCUCGGAAAGCAGCCCGAGCACGCUCACGUCCAAGAGCAAGUCGUCCCGCUGGAGCCUGGCCGGCUUCGGCCGGUACCUGUGCAGCUGCUGCGACCGGCGGCGGCGGUAGGGGGCGGGCGCCGAGGCCGAGGCGGCGGGGGAGGCCGGGGGCGCGGGCGAGCCCCCCGGGGAGGGCUCGACCCCGGCCCCGGCCCCGGCCCCGGCCCCGCCAGCGAGCACCGCACGCAAGAGGCUCCCGGGAGCGCGCCCAGGGACCAGGAGGACGGACAGGAUCAUCCGGCUCCCAUAUUUUAUUUUUAAGCCCUCUCUGCACCGACCGCGGGGCUCGAACUCACAAUCUCGAGAUCAAGAGUCACAUGUUCCGCCCACCCAGCCAGCCAGGUAUCCCUCACUGUAGUUUCGAUAUAUAUUAACCCCUUAUCAGAUAUAUCAUUUAUUGUUUAUUUUUUUAUUUUAUUAAUUUUUGCUCUACUCUUGAUUUUUCUACCCUUCUCCAUUCUUUGGGUAUAUUUUGCUAUUCUUUUUUUUUUUUUUAACUUCUUCAGAUGGCUACUUAACUCAUUGCUUUUCAAUUUUUCUUCUUUUCUAAUGUAUAUAUUUAAGGCUAUGAACUUUCUUCUACAUACAGCUUUAACUGCAUUCCAUCAGUGUUGAUAGGUAACUCUUUGCUAUAGUUUGGUUUUAAAAUAUAAAUUCAAAAUGUUGUUUCUCUGUUUUAAUCUGAGAGAGAGAGAGCGAGUGUGCUGUGCAUGCGCAAGUUGGGGAGGGGCAGAGAGAGAGAGAGAGAGAGAGAAUCCUAAGCAGAGCCCAACACGGGGCUGGAGCUCACCAACCCUCAGGUCAUGACCUGAGCUGAAGUCGGAUGCUUAAUCAACUGAGCCACCCAGGUGUCCCAUGUAUCUUAUUUUUUGUUAAGAUUUUAUUUUUAGGUAAUCUCUACACCCAAUGCAGGGCUCAAAUUCACAACCCUGAGAUCAGGAGUCACAUGCUCCACUGACUGAGCCAGCCUGGCACCCCCCAAAAAAUCUCUAUCUUAGAAUUAAUGAUAUAUGUUGGUCCCUAUGGCUAUUGUCUCCCUGCCUAGCCUCCCAAUUACAGACAGAGGGGUAUUCAAAUCUAUGACUGAGCGCUUUUCGGAUGCUCUUUGUAGUGCUCUCAAUUUUUUUUCUUUUUAUAUAUUGAGGGCAGGUCAUUAGAUGCAUAAAUACUUAGGAUUAGUCUGUUUUCCCAGUGAAUGUUACCUUUUAUCAUUAUGAAUGAACCCCCUCCCUUUACCUCUUAGUGUUUUUUUCGGCCUGAA
ensembl:lncRNA